ensembl:lncRNA
GUAAAGUUUGGAGCACUUACCGUGACAGCGACUGCAAAUUCCUCCAGGACGAAAUCCGACCGGGUGUGGAGUACCGACCUUAAAAAUCACUGAAGUGUGUUGCAGUGGGUGAGUCUGUCUUUGACGUGUGUGCACUAAAGCUUUGCAGUGCUGUGCCGUGUCCCUGUUGUCUGUACUUGCCCUCCAGGCCGAGAAAAGUUCCUGUUGGAAAGAACGUAGGCUGCCGUGGCGGUGCCCACCUAUCCCACCUACGCCCGCCUAUAACUCCGUUCUCCGGACCCAGCUCGAAGGUGAAGUGUGAAAGCAAAACAAGGUAUUGUGCGGAUAUUGUGGGGAAAGCUACUGACCUUGAAUACGCUCUGUAAGCCCAGCGUGAAGAUACAGCCACUUGUUGAAUACUUACUUCUCUGUACGAGCUAAAAGCUAUUGCCCUUGAAUACGCCCUGUAAAGCCCAGCGUGAAGAUACAGCCACUUGUUGAAUACUUACCUCUCUGUACGAGCUAAAAGCUAUUGCCCUUGAAUACGCCCUGUAAAGCCCAGCGUGAAGAUACAGUCACUUGUUGAAUACUCACCUGUUUGUACGAGCUAAAAGCUACUGACCUUGAAUACGCCCUGUAAAGCCCAGUGUGAAGAUACAGCUACUUGUUGAAUACUUACCCGCCUGCACGAGUUAAAAGCCAUUGCUCUGGAACCCGCUCAGUAAGCCUAGUGUGAAGAGUCAGUCACCUUGCUCAAUAUCUAUCUGUGAUACGAGUAAAAAGUUACUCGCUUCUGAUAUACCGGUGGACAUCCAGGGGCAUGGCCUAGUUACCUUGCUACAUCCUUACCGUUGUUCCUUACCUGUGCCCUCAGGGAUUUGGGUGUUACCUUAUAUCUACCUAGGAGGUCUAUGGGAGUGGAGGAGCUGUCCAGACGCUGGAGAAGAGAAGGGCGCCACGGGAAAUCAAGCAGUUAAGGAAGGACUUAGGAUUAGUCAGGAGACUGGUGGAAGUUCUGGGAAAGGACGGAAGAGCCCUUGCCCCCCCCCUCCCCUGGUGAUUACUUACCAAAGACCUCCAGAGUUCUCAGGCCCAGUCCCCUCCUGUCAAGAGACGAAAAUCAAAGUUUUAG